ensembl:snRNA U6 U6 spliceosomal RNA
AUGGUCACUUUAGCAGCACACAUAGAACUGAAACAUACAGAGAAAAUGAGCAUGGCCCUGUGCAAGGAUGACACACAAAUUUCUGAAGCAUUCCAUAUUUUU